GACGAACGCUGGCGGCGUGCUUAACACAUGCAAGUCGAGCGGUAAGGCCCUUUCGGGGGUACGACGAGCGGCGAACGGGUGAGUAACACGUGGGUGACCUGCCCUCAGCUCUGGGGAUAAGCCUGGGAAACUGGGUCUAAUACCGGAUAUGACUUCGCAUCGCAUGGUGUGGGGUGAAAGUUUUUCGGCUGGGGAUGGGCCCGCGGCCUAUCAGCUUGUUGGUGGGGGUGAUGGCCUACCAAGGCGACGACGGGUAGCCGGCCUGAGAGGGCGACCGGCCACACUGGGACUGAGACACGGCCCAGACUCCUACGGGAGGCAGCAGU
rnacentral:rRNA from 1 species